UGGGGAAUAUUGGACAAUGGGCGCAAGCCUGAUCCAGCAAUGCCGCGUGUGUGAAGAAGGCCUUCGGGUUGUAAAGCACUUUUAUCAGGAGCGAAACGCUGUCGGCUAAUACCCGGCGGAACUGACGGUACCUGAGGAAUAAGCACCGGCUAACUUCGUGCCAGCAGCCGCGGUAAUACGAAGGGUGCAAGCGUUAAUCGGAAUUACUGGGCGUAAAGCGUGCGUAGGCGGUUUCUUAAGUCUGCUGUGAAAUCCCCGGGCUCAACUGGGAAUGGCAGUGGAUACUGGGAGGCUAGAGUGUGUCAGAGGGUGGUGGAAUUCCCGGUGUAGCGGUGAAAUGCGUAGAGAUCGGGAGGAACAUCAGUGGCGAAGGCGGCCACCUGGGACAACACUGACGCUGAGGCACGAAAGCGUGGGGAGCAAACAGGAUUAGAUACCCUGGUAGUCCACGCCCUAAAGCGAUGCGAACUGGAUGUUGGUCUCAACUCGGAGAUCAGUGUCGAAGCUAACGCGUUAAGUUCGCCGCCUGGGGAGUACGGUCGCAAGACUGAAACUCAAAGGAAUUGAC
rnacentral:rRNA from 1 species